GACGAACGCUGGCGGCGUGCCUAAUACAUGCAAGUAGAACGCUGAAGAGAGGAGCUUGCUCUUCUUGGAUGAGUUGCGAACGGGUGAGUAACGCGUAAGUAACCUGCCUUGUAGCGGGGGAUAACUAUUGGAAACGAUAGCUAAUACCGCAUAACACUGGAUGACACAUUUCAUUUAUUUGAAAGGGGCAAUUACUCCACUACAAGAUGGACCUGCGUUGUAUUAGCUAGUAGGUGAGGUAAUGGCUCACCUAGGCGACGAUACAUAGCCGACCUGAGAGGGUGAUCGGCCACACUGGGACUGAGACACGGCCCAGACUCCUACGGGAGGCAGCAGUAGGGAAUCUUCGGCAAUGGGGGCAACCCUGACCGAGCAACGCCGCGUGAGUGAAGAAGAUUUUCGGAUCGUAAAGCUCUGUUGUAAGUCAAGAACGGGUGUGAGAGUGGAAAGUUCACACUGUGACGGUAGCUUACCAGAAAGGGACGGCUAACUACGUG
rnacentral:rRNA from 1 species